GAUGAACGCUAGCGGCAGGCUUAACACAUGCAAGUCGAGGGGUAUAGGUUUUCGGACCUAGAGACCGGCGCACGGGUGCGUAACGCGUAUGCAAUCUACCUUUCACAGAGGGAUAGCCCAGAGAAAUUUGGAUUAAUACCUCAUAGUAUAGCAGUUUCGCAUGAAACCACUAUUAAAGUUCCAACGGUGAAAGAUGAGCAUGCGUCCCAUUAGCUAGAUGGUGAGGUAACGGCUUACCAUGGCUACGAUGGGUAGGGGUCCUGAGAGGGAGAUCCCCCACACUGGUACUGAGACACGGACCAGACUCCUACGGGAGGCAGCAGUGAGGAAUAUUGGUCAAUGGACGCAAGUCUGAGCCAGCCAUGCCGCGUGCAGGAUGACGGUCCUAUGGAUUGUAAACUGCUUUUGUACGAGAAGAAACAACAUUACGUGUAAUGUCUUGACGGUAUCGUAAGAAUAAGGAUCGGCUAACUCCGUGCCAGCCGCCGCCGUAAUAC
rnacentral:rRNA from 1 species